AGAAAAGGAACGUCGUUGUUACUGAUCCUGCUUUAUUAUAUCAGAACAGAGAGUUGGAUGCUAUUAUCUCAUCCGAUGGCAGGCUUCUGCACACUAACCAGUUCAGGUAAGAGCAUUUCAGAAUACUUUAUAGCAUACUCCAUUAUGUAAUAUAUAGCCCGUCUUUUCAAUGGAAAAAUGUUGUGGCAUGUGUAUUUCUUGAGUCCGGAACCAAAAUGUGUUUUCUUGAGUCCGGAACCAAAAUGUGUGGGGAAAAAAACUGGUGAUCAAAAUAUAUAUAAAGCUUUAUCUAAAGACGUUAUACCUUAACAGCCGUUUGCCCAGUUAAGUAUAUCGCAUUUAGCUGAGGCGUUAUAUUUGAACUCAAACGAGUGGAAAGUAUAGCGCCCUAACAAAAGGCGCUAUAGUAUAACGUCUUUUGUUAAGGCGAUGUACUAACAAAAAUAUGAAAUGGACCAGAAGUGAUUCGGCACUAGCUGUGAUUUGACACAAAAAGAAUUAUUUUGUUUUGUUACACGAGAAAUUACUGUAUUUGCAUAAUAUUUAUAUGAUUUAUCACAAUUUUUGAAUUUAACUUUAGAAAUCUAUUUAUUCAAGAUCAAAGUCAAAUGUUAUUUUGUUGUCAUUACUGUCGCAUAGCACAAUUUUUAUAUGAUUUUUUUUACUUUUUCCCAACUCAACCAUAUUUUAUUGUAUUGCCAAUACAACUAUAUUUUGUAAAACUAUUCCAAAGAUCGAGUGUCCCUCAAUUUUCAUAUUUUAAGAACCGGUCAAAGUCUCAAGCCUCCCUCCUUCCACAAAACUCCAGCUUUCAAAAUACUCAUCUUUCAACCUUUUAAUAAAAAAUCAUGUCUUAAAAUUUUCUCCAAUUUUCAAGAGAAAACUUUUCCUCUUUUAGGCAAUUACUACUUCACACGCCAUGGUCCUAUACUCUCCUCUUUGCUAUGUUAAUUUUAACUUUAUGAUCUCAUCACCUCAACUCCAACAGCUCAUUCACUGUUUCUCAUGGUCCUUUUUCUAAAACUUUCACAAAAAUAAUGAUAUAAUCUUAUACCUACUGCCAUGGGAUUCUUGACAUGUCUUAUCUCUCAUUUCACAAAGGACUCUUUGCUCUUUGCCACGAGGAUUCUUGACAUGUCUUAUCUCUCAUUUCACAAAGGGCUCUUUGCUCUUUGCCACGAGGAUUCGCUGUUUGUUUGUUUAUGAAAUGUUAGUAUAGCGCCUUAACAAUAGGCAUUAUACUAUAGCGUCUUUUGUUAGUGCGCUAUACUUUCCCGCCUGUUUGAGUUCAAAUAUAACGCCUUAGCUAAAGGCGGUAUAUUUAACUAAGCAAACGGUCGUUAAAGCAUAACGUCUUUAGGUAAGGCUUUAUAUAUAUUUUGGUCACCAAUUUGUUUCCACACAUUUUGGUUCUUUGAAUCCAAAAGAACCAUAUUUUAGUUCCGGAUCAUGUAUUUCUCAGCUAGCCAGCUAUUAAAAUUAUUACACCAUCACAUACAUCAUGUCUAUAACAACAUACUCUCUCCAUACUACUUUACGUAAUAAUAUUUCCUUUUUAGAUUUUUCUAAAAAGAAUGACCCUUUUCUUAAUUUGGAAAAAAUUUAAAAUAAACUUCUAAUUUUAAAUUUAAUGAGAAGUUUUUGUAGCCAAACAAAUAUUAUAGCAUAUUUAAGACCAUAAAUUUCAUAAUAAGUCACUACAAAAAAUAGUCUAUUUGCGGAGGGUAUUUUCACGUUUUGCGGCGGUCAGCAACCCCCACUAAUUGAUAUUGCGGUGGUCUUCAAAACCCCAGCUGUAAGGUUCGCCGCUAUUAUUUUGCGGCAAUUUUUUACAGGCCGCCGUAACCAUUUAACGGAGGUUAUUUUCCGGCGGUUUAACCCCCACAAAUUAAAAUUUUAAUCAAUGCGAAACUUGUAAAAAUAUUCAACGGGGUUUAAAACCGCCGCAAUAUAUCUUCGAAAUAUGGCAAGCUCUAUUUCGCGACAGCUUUAACCCCCUCAAUUUGUUUAUUUAAUGGCAGUUGUAACCUUCCCUAUUCUAUGAAGACCUUUUAUUUGGCAGGGCAAUUGUGGGAAUACCUGUUUUUCUAAUACAAUAUUUUAAUUAUAUUAAAUAAAUUUUAAGAGGCAUUAACAUAAUACUAAAGAUGCAUAAAUGUUAAGUAACAUCCACAUAUUAUAGAAUCAUAAGCAAUUGAGAGAUAGUAUUGUCAUUAAUCUCAAAAACUAAACUUAAACACAAAAAUUGUCUACUUCUUCUUAGUAGCUUUCUUUUUCUUCUUAGUUCAUCAUAUCAGAAAUAAGAAGAAACCUUCUUCUUCUUUUUCUAUAACAAAAAAGGAGCAGAGAGAACCUAAAUCAAAUCACAUGAAAAAAUUAUUGAAAUUGGAGCAGAGAAACCUAAAUCAAAUCACAUGCAGAAACUAUUGAAAUUCAGAUAUUAGGAAAACGUAAUCAAAACCCUAGAGGAAUUAAAAUCGGAUAUAAACAGAUUAGGAAGGAGAGGGUAGAAAGCUCUAAUUCGAGUUGUACCUUUUGUUAGGAGAUUCGGUGACAAACAUGCUUCAAUUCGAGUUGUAAUUGCUGGAAUUCACAUUAAAAUCGCACAAAUAUCAAACUUAGAGGAAUUAAAAUCGGAUAUCAACUAUUUUCGCAAUGCAGACACUGAUUUCACACAACUAUUUUCGCAAUGCACAAAUAUUUCGCACAAAUAUUUUCACAAUCAGAUAUCACAUUAAAUCGCAACGUAGAGUAAACCCUAAAUCGUUAGAGUGAAAGACAAUGGGAGAUUAAAGAAAGAAAGAGAACUUGCCAUUUCAGGAGGAGAAAGAAUCUGGAAAGCGAACCCUAAAUCAUUAGAGUGAAGAGCGGAGAUUUCUAUUGUUGGCGGACAUUUCUGGAAAAAAGAGGGAAAGAUAAAAA
rnacentral:lncRNA from 1 species